GGGGGGGGGGGGGGGGGGGGUGGGGGGGGGGGGGUCGGGCGGGGGGGCCCUGGGUGGGUGGGGGGGUCGAGGGGCGGCGGGGUGAGUCACCGGUGCGUCACCUGCCCUUGACCUUGGGAUCAGUUAAGGAAACUGGGGCUAAUACCGGAUAGGAGCGCCGGCUGAAUGGUGGGGCUUGGACCGUUUCGGCGGUUGGGGAUGGACUCCCGGCUUAUCAGCUUGUUGGUGGGGUGGGGGCUUACCAAGGCUCUGACGGGUAGCCGGCCUGCGAGGGUGACCGGCAAAAUUGGGACUGAGAUACGGCCCAGACUCCUACGGGAGGCAGCAGUGGGGAAUAUUGCACAAUGGGCGGAAGCCUGAUGCAGCAACGCCGCGUGCGGGAUGACGGCCUUCGGGUUGUAAACCGCUUUCGCCUGUGACGAAGCGUGAGUGACGGUAAUGGGUAAAGAAGCACCGGCUAACUACGUG
rnacentral:rRNA from 1 species